AUUGAACGCUGGCGGCAGGCCUAACACAUGCAAGUCGAGCGGCAGCGGAAAGUAGCUUGCUACUUUGCCGGCGAGCGGCGGACGGGUGAGUAAUGUCUGGGAAACUGCCUGAUGGAGGGGGAUAACUACUGGAAACGGUAGCUAAUACCGCAUGACCUCGAAAGAGCAAAGUGGGGGAUCUUCGGACCUCACGCCAUCGGAUGUGCCCAGAUGGGAUUAGCUAGUAGGUGAGGUAAUGGCUCACCUAGGCGACGAUCCCUAGCUGGUCUGAGAGGAUGACCAGCCACACUGGAACUGAGACACGGUCCAGACUCCUACGGGAGGCAGCAGUGAGGAAUAUUGCACAAUGGGCGCAAGCCUGAUGCAGCCAUGCCGCGUGUGUGAAGAAGGCCUUAGGGUUGUAAAGCACUUUCAGCGAGGAGGAAGGCAUCAUACUUAAUACGUGUGGUGAUUGACGUUACUCGCAGAAGAAGCACCGGCUAACUCCGUGCCAGCAGCCGCGGUAAUACGGAGGGUGCAAGCGUUAAUCGGAAUUACUGGGCGUAAAGCGCACGCAGGCGGUUUGUUAAGUCAGAUGUGAAAUCCCCGCGCUUAACGUGGGAACUGCAUUUGAAACUGGCAAGCUAGAGUCUUGUAGAGGGGGGUAGAAUUCCAGGUGUAGCGGUGAAAUGCGUAGAGAUCUGGAGGAAUACCGGUGGCGAAGGCGGCCCCCUGGACAAAGACUGACGCUCAGGUGCGAAAGCGUGGGGAGCAAACAGG
rnacentral:rRNA from 1 species